GAAAUGCGAUAAGUAGUGUGAAUUGCAGAAUUCAGUGAAUCAUCGAAUCUUUGAACGCACAUUGCGCCCCUUGGUAUUCCAUGGGGCAUGCCUGUUCGAGCGUCAUUUGUACCCUCAAGCUUUGCUUGGUGUUGGGUGUUUGUCUUCUGCGCUUGCGCGGCAUGGACUCGCCUUAAAACAAUUGGCAGCCGGCAGAUUAGCCUGGAGCGCAGCACAUUUUGCGCCUCUUGCUAUUGCUGUUGGCAUCCAUCAAGAUCUAUUUUAGCUCUUGACCUCGGAUCAGGUAGGGAUACCCGCUGAACUUAA
rnacentral:misc_RNA from 1 species